rnacentral:rRNA from 1 species
UGAGAGUGGCGGACGGGUGAGUAAUGUCUGGGAAACUGCCUGAUGGAGGGGGAUAACUACUGGAAACGGUUGCUAAUACCGCAUAAUGUCGCACGACCAAAGAGGGGGACCUUCGGGCCUCUUGCCAUCGGAUGUGCCCAGAUGGGAUUAGCUAGUAGGUGGGGUAACGGCUCACCUAGGCGACGAUCCCUAGCUGGUCUGAGAGGAUGACCAGCCACACUGGAACUGAGACACGGUCGAGACUCCUACGGGAGGCAGCAGUGGGGAAUAUUGCACAAUGGGCGCAAGCCUGAUGCAGCCAUGCCGCGUGUAUGAAGAAGGCCUUCGGGUUGUAAAGUACUUUCAGCGGGGAGGAAGGCGAUAAGGUUAAUAACCUUGUCGAUUGACGUUACCCGCAGAAGAAGCACSGGCUAACUCCGUGCCAGCAGCCGCGGUAAUACGGAGGGUGCAAGCGUUWAUCGGAAUUACUGGGCGUAAAGCGCACGCAGGCGGUCUGUCAAGUCGGAUGUGAAAUCCCCGGGCUCAACCUGGGAACUGCAUUCGAAACUGGCAGGCUAGAGUCUUGUAGAGGGGGGUAGAAUUCCAGGUGUAGCGGUGAAAUGCGUAGAGAUCUGGAGGAAUACCGGUGGCGAAGGCGGCCCCCUGGACAAAGACUGACGCUCAGGUGCGAAAGCGUGGGGAGCAAACAGGAUUAGAUACCCUGGUAGUCCACGCCGUAAACGAUGUCGACUUGGAGGUUGUGCCCUUGAGGCGUGGCUUCCGGAGCUAACGCGUUAAGUCGACCGCCUGGGGAGUACGGCCGCAAGGUUAAAACUCAAAUGAAUUGACGGGGGCCCGCACAAGCGGUGGAGCAUGUGGUUUAAUUCGAUGCAACGCGAAGAACCUUACCUACUCUUGACAUCCAGAGAACUUUCCAGAGAUGGAUUGGUGCCUUCGGGAACUCUGAGACAGGUGCUGCAUGGCUGUCGUCAGCUCGUGUUGUGAAAUGUUGGGUUAAGUCCCGCAACGAGCGCAACCCUUAUCCUUUGUUGCCAGCGGUYAGGCCGGGAACUCAAAGGARACUGCCAGUGAUAAACUGGAGGAAGGUGGGGAUGACGUGAGGUCAUCUUGGCCCUUACGAGUAGGGCUACACACGUGCUACAAUGCCGCAUACAAAGUGAAGCGACCUCGUGAGCGCUAGCGGCCCUCAUAAACUGCGUCGUAGUC